rnacentral:rRNA from 1 species
UUGCUCGGUCUGAUUAGUGGCGAACGGGUGAGUAACACGUGAGCAACCUGCCCUUCACUUUGGGAUAACCUCGGGAAAUCGGGGCUAAUACCGGAUAUGAGCUCCUGUCGCAUGGCGGGUGUUGGAAAGUUUUUCGGUGAAGGAUGGGCUCGCGGCCUAUCAGUUUGUUGGUGAGGUAGUGGCUCACCAAGGCGAUGACGGGUAGCCGGCCUGAGAGGGCGACCGGCCACACUGGGACUGAGACACGGCCCAGACUCCUACGGGAGGCAGCAGUGGGGAAUAUUGCACAAUGGGCGAAAGCCUGAUGCAGCGACGCCGCGUGAGGGAUGACGGCCUUCGGGUUGUAAACCUCUUUCAGCAGGGAAGAAGCGAAAGUGACGGUACCUGCAGAAGAAGCGCCGGCUAACUACGUGCCAGCAGCCGCGGUAAUACGUAGGGCGCAAGCGUUGUCCGGAAUUAUUGGGCGUAAAGAGCUUGUAGGUGGCUUGUCGCGUCUGCCGUGAAAACCCGAGGCUCAACCUCGGGCGUGCGGUGGGUACGGGCAGGCUAGAGUGUGGUAGGGGAGACUGGAACUCCUGGUGUAGCGGUGAAAUGCGCAGAUAUCAGGAAGAACACCGAUGGCGAAGGCAGGUCUCUGGGCCAUUAC